UCUCCGUAGGUGAACCUGCGGAGGGAUCAUUACCAGCGAUGGCGCGCCUCCGUGCCCCCGUCCCCAGCCGACUGUUGAGCAAAACCCUGUUGCCUCGGCGGCAGAGCGUCCGUCGCCGCCCCCGGAGGACCAAUCAACGCUGUCUCGUUGCGUCGGAGUAUUGAUUAAAAAAAUGAAAACUUUCAACAACGGAUCUCUUGGUUCUG
rnacentral:misc_RNA from 1 species